GAUGAACGCUAGCGGCAGGCUUAAUACAUGCAAGUCGUGGGGCAGCAGGGUUGUAGCAAUACAAUCGCUGGCGACCGGCAAACGGGUGCGUAACACGUACGCAACCUUCCCGUUACUGUGGCAUAGCCCAGGGAAACUUGGAUUAAUACCACAUAUUAUAUUGAGGGGGCAUCCCUUUGAUAUCAAAGCUUCGGCGGUAACGGAUGGGCGUGCGGUUGAUUAGUUAGUUGGCGGGGUAACGGCCCACCAAGCCUACGAUCAAUAGCUGAUGUGAGAGCAUGAUCAGCCACACGGGCACUGAGACACGGGCCCGACUCCUACGGGAGGCAGCAGUAAGGAAUAUUGGGCAAUGGACGAAAGUCUGACCCAGCCAUGACGCGUGAAGGAUUAAGGUCCUCUGGAUUGUAAACUUCUUUUCUCUGGGGCGAAAACCAGCUAUUCUUAGCUAUUUGACAGUACCAGAGGAAUAAGCACCGGCUAACUCCGUGCCAGCAGCCGCGGUAACAC
rnacentral:rRNA from 1 species